rnacentral:rRNA from 1 species
GUAGGUGGCAAGCGUUGUCCGGAAUUAUUGGGGCGUAAAGCGCGCGCAGGCGGUUCUUUAAGUCUGAUGUGAAAGCCCACGGGCUCAACCGUGGAGGGUCGUUGGAAACUGGAGAACUUGAGUACAGAAGAGGAAAGCGGAAUUCCACGUGUAGCGGUGAAAUGCGUAGAGAUGUGGAGGAACACCAGUGGCGAAGGCGGCUUUCUGGUCUGUAACUGACGCUGAGGCGCGAAAGCGUGGGGAGCAAACAGGAUUAGAUACCCUGGUAGUCCACGCCGUAAACGAUGAGUGCUAAGUGUUAGGGGGUUUCCGCCCCUUAGUGCUGCAGCUAACGCAUUAAGCACUCCGCCUGGGGAGUACGGCCGCAAAGGCUGA